UUAAACUUCACAACAGAGGGUUGGAAUGAUGGAACCAUGUUUCCUAAAACAAACUCAUCAAGACUCCUGCGUGCGUCAUGAAUGACAGUUCAUGGGGUUCGAAGCACAGGUAGAGUCGGCAGAAGGAAGGCUAGAGAAACCUUCUUGUCUAAGGGUAACGAG
rfam:Bacillus okhensis strain Kh10-101 contig36, whole genome shotgun sequence.